rnacentral:rRNA from 1 species
UUCGCUGACGAGUGGCGGACGGGUGAGUAAUGUCUGGGAAACUGCCUGAUGGAGGGGGAUAACUACUGGAAACGGUAGCUAAUACCGCAUAAUGUCGCAAGACCAAAGAGGGGGACCUUCGGGCCUCUUGCCAUCGGAUGUGCCCAGAUGGGAUUAGCUUGUUGGUGGGGUAACGGCUCACCAAGGCGACGAUCCCUAGCUGGUCUGAGAGGAUGACCAGCCACACUGGAACUGAGACACGGUCCAGACUCCUACGGGAGGCAGCAGUGGGGAAUAUUGCACAAUGGGCGCAAGCCUGAUGCAGCCAUGCCGCGUGUAUGAAGAAGGCCUUCGGGUUGUAAAGUACUUUCAGCGGGGAGGAAGGGAGUAAAGUUAAUACCUUUGCUCAUUGACGUUAUCCGCAGAAGAAGCACCGGCUAACUCCGUGCCAGCAGCCGCGGUAAUACGGAGGGUGCAAGCGUUAAUCGGAAUUACUGGGCGUAAAGCGCACGCAGGCGGUUUGUUAAGUCAGAUGUGAAAUCCCCGGGCUCAACCUGGGAACUGCAUCUGAUACUGGCAAGCUUGAGUCUCGUAGAGGGGGGUAGAAUUCCAGGUGUAGCGGUGAAAUGCGUAGAGAUCUGGAGGAAUACCGGUGGCGAAGGCGGCCCCCUGGACGAAGACUGACGCUCAGGUGCGAAAGCGUGGGGAGCAAACAGGAUUAGAUACCCUGGUAGUCCACGCCGUAAACGAUGUCGACUUGGAGGUUGUGCCCUUGAGGCGUGGCUUCCGGAGCUAACGCGUUAAGUCGACCGCCUGGGGAGUACGGCCGCAAGGUUAAAACUCAAAUGAAUUGACGGGGGCCCGCACAAGCGGUGGAGCAUGUGGUUUAAUUCGAUGCAACGCGAAGAACCUUACCUGGUCUUGACAUCCACGGAAGUUUUCAGAGAUGAGAAUGUGCCUUCGGGAACCGUGAGACAGGUGCUGCAUGGCUGUCGUCAGCUCGUGUUGUGAAAUGUUGGGUUAAGUCCCGCAACGAGCGCAACCCUUAUCCUUUGUUGCCAGCGGUCCGGCCGGGAACUCAAAGGAGACUGCCAGUGAUAAACUGGAGGAAGGUGGGGACGACGUCAAGUCAUCAUGGCCCUUACGACCAGGGCUACACACGUGCUACAAUGGCGCAUACAAAGAGAAGCGACCUCGCGAGAGCAAGCGGACCUCAUAAAGUGCGUCGUAGUCCGGAUUGGAGUCUGCAACUCGACUCCAUGAAGUCGGAAUCGCUAGUAAUCGUGGAUCAGAAUGCCACGGUGAAUACGUUCCCGGGCCUUGUACACACCGCCCGUCACACCAUGGGAGUGGGUUGCAAAAGAAGUAGGUAGCUUAACCUUCGGGAGGGCGCUUACCACUUUGUGAUUCAUGACUGGGGUGAAGUCGUAACAAGGUAACCGUAGGGGAACCUGCGGUUGGAUCACCUCCUUACCUUAAAGAAGC